GCCGUCGUAGCACAAUGGUAGUGCGUUGCUUUCCUACGUUAAUUCGUAAGGCAAAGGUUGUGGGUUCGAUCCCCACCGUCGGUU